UACGAAGGGGGCUAGCGUUGCUCGGAAUCACUGGGCGUAAAGGGUGCGUAGGCGGGUCUUUAAGUCAGGGGUGAAAUCCUGGAGCUCAACUCCAGAACUGCCUUUGAUACUGAAGAUCUUGAGUCGGGAGAGGUGAGUGGAACUGCGAGUGUAGAGGUGAAAUUCGUAGAUAUUCGCAAGAACACCAGUGGCGAAGGCGGCUCACUGGCCCGGUAUACGACGCUGAGGCACGAAAGCGUGGGGGAGCAAACAGG
rnacentral:rRNA from 1 species